CGAAUACACCCUUCUGGCUGCAUGGUCUGGUUGGGGAAAGCUUUUGCGGUGUGGGAUGGGCCCGCGGCCUAUCAGCUUGUUGGUGAGGUUACGGCUCACCAAGGCGACGACGGGUAGCCGGCCUGAGAGGGUGACCGGCCACACUGGGACUGAGAUACGGCCCAGACUCCUACGGGAGGCAGCAGUGGGGAAUAUUGCACAAUGGGCGCAAGCCUGAUGCAGCGACGCCGCGUGAGGGAUGACGGCCUUCGGGUUGUAAACCUCUUUCGCCAGGGACGAAGCGCAAGUGACGGUACCUGGAGAAGAAGGACCGGCCAACUACGUGCCA
rnacentral:rRNA from 1 species